GUGAUUUGCAACCUUGCCAACCAGCGACCAUGAAAAAUUUAUCAAACACCACGGCAAUUGGCAACCCUUUCUUUUGUUUGGUUUCGACACUUGGAAGAUGUUUGAUGGAUGUCUGGUAAACUUCGGUUUCGGGAUUCAGCGAAGAAUACACCACCUUAACAAGUGGCCUAAAAGUUGAUCCAGUACAAUUUCGGUGGUUCAAUUCUCGUAUAAAUUAGACUCAAGAAUAGACCACCCGCAUAAUCAAAUAUCAUACACCUAAUCAUUGAUAUUAUUCCUUGCUGAUUGCAUGAAUAGUGAUUAUUCGAGUAAUCGUCCUAAAAUCAUCUUAAUUUUGACUAAAUUUUCCACUUUUCAUGUGCCUUCGCUUAAAAUGAUAAAAAAAUAUUGUUGAAAGAUACCAGUAAUAAUCCUUAAAACAAAAUUCAGGAUGCAUGAUGCAUCUGAGUGUGUCGUGUGUCUUCACUAUCAACAAUGCAAAUAAAAAAUGGCGCAUGAUUUUAUUUUGCUAGCCAAAACGGUGGAGUCUCGUUUUUUUCAUCAGCUAAAAUGUAAGUUUGCAGCAAUUUUCUUUUCCAUAAACUGUUUUUAAAUUGUUUCAAAUGUUUUUUUCCAGCGGAAUUCGCCGGUCGACAGCUCCAAAUCAGACUUCCACCGGAAGCGUUCCCUUGCAUCACUACCGGCUGUCCGGAAGACCAACGAGCAACGUUUGCAUCAAAACAAAUUAAUUGCAGAACUAAUCAUUUCAUCUAAGGAUGAUCCGGAUCUCCGCAGGAUCACAGAAACCGAAUUGCGUUCUGCUUCGACGAGAAUUUCCCGACGCGACAAUCUCAACAGUAGGGUCUUGAAAAACAAAUUUGUAAGUUUUUUUUAUGUUAUUUUGCGUUAAUUUUUGUGUUUUUUAGGAUAUCUUCUGACAUCGCUGGAUGGACCGUCCAGUAUGAGCAUUGCAUGCAUUUGGCUCUAUUGAAUAUGCAAAGAGAUGCCCAUUUCAUCCGAUUACGAAAUCGAUUCCAAAACAAAAUUCGAACUAUUCCAUUCUUCCGUAAAAAAUACCGCCGUAUACGGUCCAAUAUAACAACGGACGUCACAAAGAUCCUUGAUUCCAGCAGUGAAAAUAGUGAUAAAGCUUUAGUGGUCAGUGCUUUAAGUAAUCAACUCUACAUUUGUAACUCAUGAUAUUUGGAAUCUUUACAGCCCGCGGCUACCAGUUGACCGAGCUGGGCCCACCUCCCCUGCUCCCUAGCGGUGUCCUGGUAGAGAACAACGACAGCAGCGGCAGCCAAAACGGUGGAGUCUCGUUUUUUUCAUCAGCUAAAAUGAGAAUUCGCCGGUCGACAGCUCCAAAUCAGACUUCCACCGGAAGCGUUCCCUUGCAUCACUACCGGCUGUCCGGAAGACCAACGAGCAACGUUUGGAUCAAAACAAAUUAAUUGCAGAACUAAUCAUUUCAUCUACGGAUGGUCCGGAUCUCCGCAGGAUCACAGAAACCGAAUUGCGUUCUGCUUUGACGAGAAUUUCCCGACGCGAAACAAUCUCAACAGUAGGAUAUCUUUUGACGUCGCUGGAUGGACCGUCCAGUAUGAGCAUUGCAUGCAUUUGGCUCUAUUGAACAAAGGGAUGCCCGAUUACGAAAUCGAUUCCAAAACAAAAUUAGAACAUUCUUCCGUGAAAAAUACCGCCGUAUAGAGUCCAAUAUAACAACGGACGUCACAAAGAUCCUUGAUUCCAGCAGUGCCAGCGGCUACCAGUUGACCGAGCUGGGCCCACCUCCCCUGCUCCUGAGCGGUGUCUUGGUCGAGAACAACGACAGCAGCGGCAGCUCGUCGUCAAGAAAGGGAAAGUUAAAAUUUCCCAUCAACUAUCUUUUCAAUGGAAACAAUGUAAGUGGCACCGCUACCAGAUUCGCUGCCGUAAUCCGAGCGUCCCCUUUGAUGCUCCGAUGGUGAAAUCGAGGAAUGGCGUGAGAUGUCCGGGGGGACCAAUCGAAGCGGCCAACUGCAACUACUCCGAUG